CUAAUACAUGCAAGUCGUACGCACUGGCCCAACUGAUUGAUGGUGCUUGCACCUGAUUGACGAUGGAUCACCAGUGAGUGGCGGACGGGUGAGUAACACGUAGGUAACCUGCCCCGGAGCGGGGGAUAACAUUUGGAAACAGAUGCUAAUACCGCAUAACAACAAAAGCCACAUGGCUUUUGUUUGAAAGAUGGCUUUGGCUAUCACUCUGNGAUGGACCUGCGGUGCAUUAGCUAGUUGGUAAGGUAACGGCUUACCAAGGCGAUGAUGCAUAGCCGAGUUGAGAGACUGAUCGGCCACAAUGGACCUGAGACACGGUCCAUACUCCUACNGGAGGCAGCA
rnacentral:rRNA from 1 species